GAACGCUUGCUGCAUGCUUUAUACAUGCAAGUCGAACGGAGGCCCUAGCUUGCUAGGUGUCCUUAGUGGCGCACGGGUGAGUAACACGUGGGAACAUACCUCAUAGUACGGAAUAACUGCGGGAAACUGUAGCUAAUACCGUAUAUUCCAGCAAUGGGAAAGAUUUAUCGCUAUGAGAUUGGCCCGCGCAAGAUUAGUUUGUUGGUAAGGUAAUGGCUUACCAAGGCUACGAUCUUUAGCUGGUUUGAGAGGAUGAUCAGCCACACUGGGACUGAGACACGGCCCAGACUCCUACGGGAGGCAGCAGUAGGGAAUAUUGGACAAUGGGGGCAACCCUGAUCCAGCAAUGCAGCGUGAGUGACGAAGGCCUUAGGGUUGUAAAACUCUUUCAUCGGUGAGGAUAAUG
rnacentral:rRNA from 1 species